rnacentral:rRNA from 1 species
CUGGCUCAGGAUGAACGCUGGCGGCAUGCCUAAGACAUGCAAGUCGAACGAAGUGGCCCGAUGAAAAUGGAGUACUGUACAAAUUGGAUUGGACUUCCACUAGUGGCAGACGGGUGAGUAACACGUAAGUAACCUACCUCAAAGACUGGGAUAACGUUUGGAAACGAACGCUAAUACCGGAUAAUUCAUAUUUAGAUAACUAAAUAUGCUAAAAGAAGCGUUUGCUUCACUAUGAGAUGGGCUUGCGGCGUAUUAACUAGUUGGUAGGGUAAUGGCCUACCAAGGUGACGAUGCGUAGCCGGGCUGAGAGGCUAAUCCGGCCACAUUGGGACUGAGACACGGCCCAAACUCCUACGGGAGGCAGCAGUUAGGAAUAUUCGUCAAUGGGGGAAACCCUGAACGAGCAAUGCCGCGUGAGUUGAUGACAGUCUUAUAGAUUGUAAAACUCUGUUGUAAAGGAAGAACCCUUACUAUAGGAAAUGAUAGUAAGCUGACGGUACUUUACCAGAAAGCCCCGGCUAACUACGUGCCAGCCGCUGC